AGCUGAACCACAUGUUCAUGAUGACAACAACCAAACCACUACACCGGAGCCAAGGCAUCAAACCAGGACACAACACCGGGAAGAGAAAAACACCCAUGAGAACCCAUAAAUCAACCGCACCUUCCUAUGGACGCCUCCACAUCUGAUCCUCAUUAUAUUGCUUCAACAGAUAAAGCCACCGAGGAUAAGAAAAGACCAAAAGCAGACCAGGAACAAACCUUAUUCAAUGUGCGGGGAGAUGAUUCUUUCAAAGCUGCGAGAUGAAGAGGUGAACAUAACCCAUCUUCUUCUCCGGAUUCUUACCUUGAACUACUCCGCACGCACCAUUACGUCACUGCUACACUACUAUACCGUUGCUAAAUCAUAGACCACUUAAGACAAACUCUAAAAUCCAUAAGAGAUUAUCCAGAUUCAACUCCUCUCAAAGGUUAACAAAACCACUCUAAACAGGAUCUGAACACAGCCGCCGCAUCACAGAAGAGACACCGAGGCUUGGACCUUCAUCUCGAAAGACGACGCAGACGGAGGCCGGAGAAAACGCUCCACACGCCCAGAUCUAUAAACGGACCACCGGAUCUGAGAUAAGAAGAGCUCUUCGAAUUGCUCUGCAACACAAGAGGUAAAGAACGACUCUAAGAGGAGGGGGAGGAGGAAUCCAAGAGAGCAAAGAGAAACAACACAAUUUUGAGACGAGAUCCAACGACCGCGAGAGGAGGCGGCCACCGGCCUAGGGUUUUCAAGCGAGAGUGUGUCUUCAUGCUGUUUGUAAUCUUUAUAUAUAAAAGAGGGUUUACUCCCUCCUGAGGCUGCCACAUCAUCAUCCACAUAGGAAAGUCGUGCGUCCUGGAGCCGCCACGUGUCCAAGAAGAGUGAAACUCUGCGUUUCAUUUAAUCUGGAAUGAGAUGGGCUUUGGACGUUUGAUGUGUGUUGGGCUUUUAAUUUGUACACUGUAUCCGGCUCGGGUAGAUGGAUCUUACACUCUAACCCUAAUUCUUUUGUAUCGAAGAAACAAGCUUCGUCUCUCUUCGUACGGCAACGACUCCGUGACGUCUUAUCUUCCUCUCGCCAUCUGAAACGGUUCGAGUAAUGGCGUCGUGUUUACUCCAUUAAUCCAGUCGCCCUUGCCCAAAACGAGGUCUUCAAUGCAUCGUUUGGAUCUGCAAGGCAGUGUUCUUUUUGGUAUAAAUAUUGUUUCUCAGGGCUGAUGCGGUUCUGGGAUGCUAGACACUUAUUUUCAGUAUAAUGGCGAGCUUAAUAUAAUUUAUAAGAAAAAGUUAUCCAAGUAAUAUGAAAGGUCGCCGGCGAAACAUAAAGAUCCUGGAGGUGGUUUUAUAUGAUGUGAACCAGAAAAGCUGAACUUAAGAAGAACCUUGCUCUCUCUCUCUCGCUACAAAGCAAAGAAGAAAACAUGAAGAUGCGAUUAGCACAUCAGAUAUGAAUUACCCAAGUUUCAUGUAGAUAUCAACACAAGAGUCAGGGGCAUAGGAAGAAGGGAAUCAAAAGUAGAGCAAAUAAGGUAUUCACGAAAGUGAAAGAAAAAGCUAAGAAGAUCAAGAACAGUCCUAUCAAACUUGGUCAUAGUCAUGGUCAUAACCACGAUCAUGAUGUGUACGAAGAAGAAUAUGGCAAGCAAGAAUCAGAGUGGCAUGAGUAUACUCACGACGGUGUAAGUGGUCAACCUGUGUCACUAUGUCACCCCGGGGAAGCUAAUUUCAGACACCGCCGAAGAUCGUUCCACCAGGAACAAAAGAUUUCCGAUUGGUAUCGUUGGAUUAUACCAAACGUCCUGAACCUGAGCCCCUACGAGAUACUUUUUAUAUAUAUACUUUGGAGAUGGACGUGAGAACAGAAGCACCGUGUCAUCCUCCUAAACUGCACGACAUGUUGGUGAGAGAAUAGAGGAUCGAGGCUCAUCAGAUUGGCAAUAAAACACGCAUGUGUCUUUGUUAUCCGCAACAAAGAUGUGAUGAGGAUUGAGGACGUGAUGUUUGUUUAAUCUCUUGGUGGAUGUUGCAGGCAAACCUUUGUCAAAAGUCUAAAGCCAUGUGUGAAUUGGCUUGAAGAGGCUGAGGAACAAAAAAUUACGACGUUUCUUCCUAUGUAAUUAUGUUUUUUUCCAAACAAAUAAUUUUAGAGUGUUUAUGUCUUUAAACUAUUUUGCUUUCUGAUAUAUCUUUUGCUGCAUUCGACCUUUUAGUGUAUUAUGGCAAUAAGCUUACUUUUCAGAAUUUUGUAUGAAUGGAAUAAUAUCCUCAGUUAUGACGAGAUGCCAGUGAUAGAUUCUUAUUAAAUUCGA